rnacentral:tRNA from 1 species
GCCCCUGUAGCUCAGGCGGAUAGAGCAGCGGUUUCCUAAACCGCGUGUCGCGCGUUCGAGUCGCGCCAGGGGUACCA